GUAUGACAAGAAUGGUAGCCCUUAGUUUUCUGGUUCAUACUGUCAACUUCCAUAUUAGAAGUUGUCACAGAAUCAUCCUGAGAUUCUGGAGGCAGUACAACUGUGUUGUCCUUUUUAAGUUCUCUAGGAUUAGUACUAUCAACAUCCAGUGACUGCUUUUCUUCUUUCUCAUUGCUGGUGACUUUCUCAAGUUCAGCUUGAACUUCUCUCAAUUCAACCCUGAGAUCACUACCAACAUCCAGUGAUUGGUUUUUUUCUUUUUCUUUGCUGGCGACUUUCUCAAGUUCAGCUUGAACUUCUCUCAAUUCAACCCUGAGAUCACUACCAACAUCCAGUGAUUGGUUUUUUUCUUUUUCUUUGCUGGC
rnacentral:misc_RNA from 1 species